rnacentral:misc_RNA from 1 species
UGGAUCGAUCUGAUCCUGUUUGAACAAUGAGUCUUAAAUAAAAACCAGACCACAUAAAGCAUUCUUCCUCCCAGUCAGAAUCUUAAUCUAUUGAAUCAAGUAUCUGUUGGGUUAAAUAGGGAGCUCUUCACAGAUCAACGAAAAUCCGUUGCAAGGCUUCCAUAAGCAAGCAGUACAAAUAAUAUGUUGCUAAUGGUAAUGAACAGUUAGUUUAAGAUACAGCUAUCUAGGAAAAUUCCAUCUGUGAAGAGCUCCCUAUUUAACCCAACAGAUACUUGAUUCAAUAGAUUAAGAUUCUGACUGGGAGGAAGAAGGGGGUAAUGCGCAUCUUGACAGACUUAAAAUAAAGCCUAUAGAUGUACCUACUUUUCUAUUAAAUAUACACGAUAUCACAAAAGAGGAGACCCUCCAGGCUCGGUGAUAUUUCAACAGGCAUUCAUCCCUAAGCUAAUUGUGGAGUUUACUGAUGAUUUUGAACCAUAAAACCAAUGACCCAUUGAACGCCAUUUGGCCCAUUGGUUUCAAAAGGAGACUCACUGCCGAGGUACUGGUGGUGUAGCCGCUUGAUGGUUUUGUCCAUAGAAUCCAAUGCCUGGUGGCCUGUAGUAUCCUCCAGUUGCUGGUGUCUGCUGCUGCUGUGCUUGCUGAGGUUGCGACUGUAGUGAUGACUGAGCAGCAGGCCUUGCCAAUCCCAUUG